UACGUAGGGGGCGAGCGUUGUCCGGAGUUACUGGGCGUAAAGGGCACGCAGGCGGUCUGGGAAGUUUCCGGUGACAGUGGUCGGCUUAACCGACCAAGGCUCGGGAAAACUGACAGACUUGAGGGCUUCAGAGGGACACGGAAUUCCGGGUGUAGUGGUGAAAUGCGUAGAUAUCCGGAGGAACACCAAAGGCGAAGGCAGAGUCCUGGGAAGUCACUGACGCUCAGGUGCGAAAGCCAGGGGAGCGAACGGG
rnacentral:rRNA from 1 species